rnacentral:rRNA from 1 species
GUAGGUGGCAAGCGUUGUCCGGAUUUAUUGGGUUUAAAGGGUGCGUAGGCGGCUUUGUAAGUCAGUGGUGAAAUACUCCAGCUCAACUGGAGAGGUGCCAUUGAUACUGCAGAGCUAGAGUACUGAUGAGGUAGGCGGAAUGGACGGUGUAGCGGUGAAAUGCUUAGAUAUCGUCCAGAACACCGAUAGCGAAGGCAGCUUACUAAAGAGUAACUGACGCUGAGGCACGAAAGUGUGGGGAUCAAACAGGAUUAGAUACCCUGGUAGUCCACACUGUAAACGUUGAUCACUAGAUGUUGGCGAUACACUGCCAGCGUUCCAGCAAAAGCGAUAAGUGAUCCACCUGGGGAGUACGCCCGCAAGGGUG